rnacentral:misc_RNA from 1 species
GAUGAAGAACGUAGCGAAAUGCGAUACGUAAUGUGAAUUGCAAAUUCAGUGAAUCAUCAAGUCUUUGAACGCACAUUGCGCCCCCUGGUAUUCCGGGGGGCAUGCCUGUCCGAGCGUCAUUGCUGCCCUCAAGCACGGCUUGUGUGUUGGGCCCCGUCCUCCGAUCCCGGGGGACGGGCCCGAAAGGCAGCGGCGGCACCGCGUCCGGUCCUCGAGCGUAUGGGGCUUUGUCACCCGCUCUGUAGGCCCGGCCGGCGCUUGCCGAUCAACCCAAAUUUUUAUCCAGGUUGACCUCGGAUCAGGUAGGGAUACCCGCUGAACUUAAGCAUAUCAUAAGCGGAGGA